rnacentral:lncRNA from 1 species
CCGGUCUACUUCGCUGUGAGUGUCGCCUUUCAUUUCUCUUUCGCCAUACGUAAUAAAUUGUAACUUGCAGAGCUAAUCGCAGUAGGAUAGAUACAUGUCUGUCGUGUGCUACACUCAGUAUUCGAGCCAGAAUCUUCUGCCCAGUCCAGUGAAGGAGCAGGACGUAGCAAAGAACCAAUGACCUGCAGCCAGAUUCCAUAUGUAUAAGGACAAGCAAAGAACAAGUGAUCGCGUGACUCCUCUGGCUCGCCACAAAGAAACCAGCCUUGCACAAUCCCCCAAUCUCUCAUUCUAGUCCCUGUAGAGAGCCUAUCUUUGUUGCUAUCUUAGGAUAUUUCUCUUAUUUAUAUGAUUGUACGUAUACAAUAUUAUUAAUUAUAAGAUUCCCCCAAUCUCUCAUUCUAGUCCCUGUAGAGAGCCUAUCUUUGAUAGCCAACCAUGUGAUAAAAGCAUAUCGAGACACACCUUGCUUAAACCAGAUUAGCUUAGACCACGACACUAUGUCGUAUCGCGCACGGAUCAUGUUCCAAGUGUUGAAAGCAGAGAAAGACUUCUUGAACUCCUCUUCGCCGCUUUUCCAUGUCAC